AUGGCAAAGAACACAAAAAAACAGACCAGUUGCGAGUCCAAAGGUCGAAUUGCAAGUGGCACCGAAAACACCCUCCGAGUUGCGAGUCGAUGGUCGAGUUGCAAGUGGCAUGCGGGGCCUGCAAUUUCAGAGUCGAUGGUAGACUUGCAAGUGGGAAAUUACGAGACAAGAAUACAACAUACCAAUUGCAAGUCCAUGGUCGAGUUGCAAGUCCACAGUCUACUUGCAAAGUGUCAUCGCGGCCCCACUGAGUUGCAAAAAGAUACCAGUUGCGAAUCUAGGGUCGAGUUGCAAGUGGCAUCGAGUAAAACACCCCCCACCGAGUUGCAAGUCGAUGGUGGACUUGCAGCUGGGGCAAUUAUGAAAAAGAAAGACAAAAAAAGAUACCAGUUGCGAAUCCAAGGUCGAGUUGCAACUGGUAUCGAGUAA
rnacentral:rRNA from 1 species